AUUGAACGCUGGCGGCAGGCCUAACACAUGCGAGUCGAGCGGAUGAAGGGAGCUUGCUCCUGGAUUCAGCGGCGGACGGGUGAGUAAUGCCUAGGAAUCUGCCUGGUAGUGGGGGAUAACGUCCGGAAGCGGGCGCUAAUAUCGCAUACGUCCUGAGGGAGAAAGUGGGGGAUCUUCGGACCUCACGCUAUCAGAUGAGCCUAGGUCGGAUUAGCUAGUUGGUGGGGUAAAGGCCUACCAAGGCGACGAUCCGUAACUGGUCUGAGAGGAUGAUCAGUCACACUGGAACUGAGACACGGUCCAGACUCCUACGGGAGGCAGCAGUGGGGAAUAUUGGACAAUGGGCGAAAGCCUGAUCCAGCCAUGCCGCGUGUGUGAAGAAGGUCUUCGGAUUGUAAAGCACUUUAAGUUGGGAGGAAGGGCAGUAAGUUAAUACCUUGCUGUUUUGACGUUACCAACAGAAUAAGCACCGGCUAACUUCGUG
rnacentral:rRNA from 1 species